rnacentral:misc_RNA from 1 species
AAGUCGUAACAAGGUUUCCGUAGGUGAACCUGCGGAAGGAUCAUUCACACAUCGCCCAGCAGUUGACGUGUGUGUAUUAAUUGCAUGCAUAGCUGCUUGGGUUUGAUAUACAUCUAUUCAACUUAACAUUAACUGAGCCGCGUCCCGUGAUCACUCAAGGCAUAUAGGGCUUUCGUGCUCUUGUGUUUCGGUCGUUCACACAAUCAAUUUUUUUACUCACCGUUUUCGUGGACAGCUUUUGGCAAUCGUUAUCAGUGGAUCAACUCCCAUGAUUUGACUGCCCGGUCCGCUUACAUCAUGUGUUUCGUUUAGGUUCAUGUAUGUUACAGCGCAAUGUACAUAUGUGAUAUACGAAAAAAAUCUGCUGUGUGGUUUAGACACAAAGCAAAUGAAAACAACUCUUUACAAUGGAUAUCUUGGUUCUC